CCAUCAUAAUAGCGGGUAGUGAAGAGAGAGAUGUGAAGAUUCAUAAGAGCAUGAUGCUCACAUCAAUCAGAUUCAUAAGAGUAUGAUGUUUGCUCAGGAAAAAAAUUUUAAGAUAUGUUGCUCACACCAAUCAGAUUUGUUAGGUUAUAUUACAUAUAUUUGCACCUGAAUCAGAUUUAAUAGCAAAGGGUUUUGGUUUUCCCACCAGUUAGAGUGUUGCAGUUGGGUCUGAUGCAUUUUAAACAAGGUCUAAAGAAUUGCUGCCAUGGCUGGAAGGCAGCCAUAUUUGUGCAUUAUGUCAAGAUGUUAACCUGCAGUGGAUGACAGCACUACCGCAGUAUAAGUGGUACUGCAAGUUUGCCAUGCACAGCAAAUAUUGGUUUAUUUUGUCUUGUCAUUGCACAUUUGGCUAAAGUUUAGAACAUUUUUAGUUUAUAUUUACUUUCUGCUUUGAAUGCUUUUUUUGUUACUUCCUUUCAGAAGCCAUGGUUUACCUCAUGUGUUUAAAGAGUAUUUAUGUUACUGAUCAUUUUUGAUUAGACUUUGCCUCAUUUUGUGAUUUUAGUGGCCUUGGAUUUUUUUCCAUCACAUGAUCGUUCUUUGCAAGCAUCCUGCUUUUUAUUGCUUAUAUUCGAUGCAAAGCAGGCAAAGUCUAGAUGGGCAACAAUUAGUCAAGGAACACUCACUGUUAUGCCCAAAGUCAAAGCCUUUGAAAUACAAUCCUUUCCUCUUCAUUCAAGACCUUUUUACUUUUUCAGAGAAAGCUGGGACUGCAAAUUGCAAAGUACCUUAGGUUAGGAAUUAAAGGAGGUAAAUUAAGUUUUUUGCUUUCCUCUCAGCAGUAAAAUUACUUAGCCUGAUAUUUUUAAGGCAAAGAACUGUAACAUUAAAUGUCAGUAAGCAAGGAGGGUAUUCAGUUCUCUUUGCUUUUGUUUAUCCAGAGAGGAGAGAUGAUGGACCAAGGAAAGUUUAUAGUCAAGAUAAAUCAGAAAGGUUUUUUGCUUCCCAUUAAAGAAAUAUUGUGAUAUAAAAUUCCAAUAAAUAUAACUCUUACAUGCAAAGCCUGUCUGUGUUGAGAAUCCUAAAUUGGAUGUACUUGAAGUAAGAUGAGCCAAGUAAAAAUUCGAAUGGUUCAAAGAACCAUUCCCACAAGAUCAAA